rnacentral:tRNA from 1 species
GACACCAUGGCAGAGUGGUCAAUUGCAAGAGCCUGCAAAGCUCUAAAAUCGUCGGUUCAAAUCCGACUGGUGUCUCCA